rnacentral:lncRNA from 1 species
AUGCGACCCCCUCCUGGAGGUCGGCAGGAAACUACGACGGGAGCGACCCCCUCCUGGAGGUCGGCAGGAAACUACGACGGGAGCGACCCCCUCCUGGAGGUCGGCAGGAACUACGACGGGAGCGACCCCCUCCUGGAGGUCGGCAGGAACUACGGGCGGGAAGGCGACCCCCUCCUGGAGGUCGGCAGGAACUACGACGGGAGCGACCCCCUCCUGGAGGUCGGCAGGAACUACGGCGGGAGCGACCCCCUCCUGGAGGUCGGCAGGAACUACGGCGGGAGCGACCCCCUCCUGGAGGUCGGCAAGAACUACGACGGGAGCGACCCCCUCCUGGAGGUCGGCAAGAACUACGACGGGCGCGACCCCCUCCUGGGGGUCUGCCGGGACUGCGGCGGGCGCGACCCCCUCCUGGGGGUCCGCCGGGACUGCGGCUGGCGCGACCUCCUCCUGGAGGUGCGCCGGGACUGCGGCUGGCGCGACCUCCUCCUGGAGGUGCGCAGGAACUGCGGCUGGCGCAACCUCCUCCUGGAGGUGCGCAGGAACUGCGGCUGGCGCAACCUCCUCCUGGAGGUGCGCAGGAACUGCGGCUGGCGCAACCUCCUCCUGGAGGUGCGCAGGAACUGCGGCUGGCGCAACCUCCUCCUGGAGGUGCGCAGGAACUGCGGCUGGCGCAACCUCCUCCUGGAGGUGCGCAGGAACUGCGACUGGCGCAACCUCCUCCUGGAGGUGCGCAGGAACUGCGACUGGCGCAACCUCCUCCUGGAGGUGCGCAGGAACUGCGACUGGCGCGACCUCCUCCUGGAGGUGCCGCAGGAAACUGCGACUGGCGCGACCCUCCUCCUGGAGGUGCGCAGGAACUGCGGGACUGGCGCGACCUCCUCCUGGAGGUGCGCAGGAACUGCGACUGGCGCGACCUCCUCCUGGAGGUGCGCAGGAACUGCGGCUAGCGCGACCUCUCCUGGAGGUGCGCAGGAACCGCGGCUAGCGCGACCUCCUCCUGGAGGUGCGCAGGAACUGCGGCUGGCGCGACCUCCUCCUGGAGGUGCGCAGGAACUGCGGCUAGCGCGACCUCCUCCUGGAGGUGCGCAGGAACUGCGGCUAGCGCGACCUCCUCCUGGAGGUGCGCAGGAACUGCGGCUAGCGCGACCUCCUCCUGGAGGUGCGCAGGAACUGCGGCUAGCGCGACCUCCUCCUGGAGGUGCGCAGGAACUGCGACUGGCGCGACCUCCUCCUGGAGGUGCGCAGGAACUGCGACUGGCGCGACCUCCUCCUGGAGGUGCGCAGGAACUACGGCUAGCGCGACCUCCUCCUGGGGACCGGCGGGCGCUGCGGCUCCACGGGUGA